GAGUAUAAAUCAUGUAAGAAUCCAUCAUCCUUUCACCCUAUGUUUCAGAAACCCUAAUCUCCUUCGCCUCCAUCGUUCGUUCUUUCAUCGUCGGUCAUCGAUAUCAAAUCACCGUUCUUUUGUAAACCCUAACCUUCCUUCCCCUUCAUCAUGAAUCAUCAUUCUCUUCUCCAAUGGUUAAACAAACCAGGUACCACUUCCGAUUACAAUAACAAUCUAAAUGGUAUCACUUUUGCUCCUAACAACAAUUGGAACAUCAUUGGGUCUUUCGAUUUCUAGGGGAUAUUGGUGUAAUCCAGUCAGAUUACUCCAUUUCGCAAAGAAUGAGAUUAAUGCAUUUCGUAUUUCUUCCUCAUUUGAUGUUGAACCACACCAUUUCGUAACUUCUGCAGGUUUUUUCAUGGUACCUUUCUUCUUCAUUAAUCGCAAUAGCUACAAAGGUUUUAAUCGGUUCAUGGUUACGCUCUUUCAUCAUGAUUCUUUUCUUGUGUUGGAUAUGCGCUUUUUAUGCACAUUGGGUUCUGAGGUGAUGCAGCAAGUGAACAACCAAGUGAAACAACUUCCUAUUCCUGUGUCGUCUAAUAAUAUGCAACAAGGAUGACAAAUGAUGUCAAUCUGAUUUGGAUUUGAAGUUGUUUUGUUCACUGAUGGUGUUGUUAGGGUUGAUGGUGAGUCGGUGACAAGGAGAAGAUGUAAGAGGUUUUGGACUACGCGGCUCAGCUCUUGUCUUCAUCUUUACGACAAGGUGAUCUAAAUGUCAUAGUCAAGGUUCCUCGAAGAAUGAAAAACUGUUUGGAUGAUUCGGCUAGCAAGGAAAAUCUUCAACUUCUGAAUUUGGCGGUGUUUUCAGAAAGUUUAUCAGUUGAAAUAAAGUGAGUUAUCUCACUCAUGCGGAUUAUGUCUUUACAAUAGUCACCGAGUAUGGGUUGAUGGGGUCAUCAGAAACCGCUAUUGCUGUCCGCUGGCGCACACGAAAGAUACUUAUAAGGAUAAUCAAAGUAUUGGUUUUAUUUGAAUCAUACUGUUGACGUUAACACACAUUUUCAUGGCUGAGUCGCUAAAGUUUCACCUACACCGAUUUCUCAGCCGUGCCGUUGAUCGAGCAUUUUAUGCAUAUUCGUCAAUAGCAAAUUGCUGAUGAUGACGAUAAGCUACAUAUACGUUACGUAGCGAUAGUGUUAAAAUAGCGGGCACUAUUUCAUCUAUACCUGGUGUUUGUUUGUUCUUGAUAUUUUAAAAGGACCAUAAUAAGAUCAACUCUUUGUUCUUGGUGUUGUGCUCUUGCUGUUUAGGUGUGUGUGGUUUUUUAUAUUUAGAAACUACUAAUAUUUUAUGAUGGGCACUCUAAUGGUGUGGUGGCUUAUGAGGUUGACGAACAAUGGAAUAGAUGGCUGCUCCAAAUAGUGUAGAAGCAGUUGCAUGACCUUUAGGUGACGAACAAUGGAAUCAAGUGGCUGCUCCAUUGAAUUUGGACCUAAACGAGUCAGUUCCCAACUGUUGAGGUAAGACACAAAACACACUCAAUGGAAGGUAUAUUUUUAAACUUGAAGCCUAUCUGAUUUACACACCAUGUGUUCAAUCUAAUGCUCAUUUGAUUUGUUUCUUAUUCUUUUAAAUUAGGUUUGAAUAUAAUUACAGUUUAUUCUGAAUGAUCUUUUGAUGCUCAGUCUUUCAACAACUUUCCUAACGAGUAGAUGUUAAAUGUUGUAAAAUUUGAGGUCUAAUGCUUUCGUAAAAUUUGUAUGAAUUUUAUAAGAGUUUUGGUACUAUUUUAUAUGAAGGUUACAUGAAGGGCGUCGUGCUCCUGAUGGUUCUGUUUCUAAUAGAAGGCAUCGUUUUUCUUCUUAUGUUUUUAUGUUAAGUGUCCAGGUCUGUCAUCGGAUGGGUUCAAUAUGGGCCGGUCGAGUGGAUUGGGUAAUGGUUCAAAAUAGGGAUGAGCAUUUGGUGCAGGAGACCGAACGGUACCGUGCCAAUUGUGAAUUCGGUGAUCGACAAAUUUGGAAGUGUUGCUUCAAUGGCGUUGGUUCAGUGUAGAAUUCCGGAACCGGUUGUGAUAGUCGACGAUUCCGGGAGUGCACAUCACUGUAACACUUGGCGGUUUUGAACGUGAACAGUCGGCGUCUGUGGGUUUAAAACCAUGGCUAUGAACGGCGGAGACACUCAGCCUUUCAAAGUUAAUUUUAUACCUCAUUCGAACUUUGGGUUAGUGCUACAUUCAUUUUUUUUUCAGAGAUUAAACUGGGGUAUAUUAACCACAACUUUUGAUCUCAAGUUUAUCAAGUGGCCGUUUUUAGUGGAAGAUAUCCAAACGACAGUUGAGUGCCGAAGGAAAGUACACAGAAGAGCAACUUCAAGAAUACAUGAUGUCACGCAAGAAGACAAUGAUUGAUUAUCUUUGGAAGCUUGAUGUGGCAGAUAUUGAAGCCACGGUUUCUCGUGCCUGUCAGAUGGUUCUUCAUGAUCAUACUGAAAAAAAGAGGAGCUAAGGGAUUGAGAAUUCUUUGUUGGAUCUUUCAGAAGGCAAUACCAGCCGCCAAUGGGAAUGAAAAGUAACCAAUGUUACACUCUGGUAUGCAUCAUUUGAAUGUUGAUGACACUGAUCAUACUUCAAGAGCUGCAGAAUCUUGUCAAAGUUCUCAAGCCACAAUGGCACUUCAGAUCGGAAAGCUCAAUAUGACAAGGGGAAGCAAGAGAUGCCACAAUGAAGUGAAAGAUUCACUCAUGCAUUAAUUUAAUAAUAAAGCCAUUAUACUUAAGGAAUUCAUAAUCAAAUUUGUUCAUGAAUUAGUUGUAAUACACUAUAGUAAAACUACACAUUUUGACAUGAAUAUAAUGUAUUAAGUAACAUCUUUUAAUUUA